AGUGUGUUCUGGAUGAAGCUGUCAAACAAAGAAAGGGUUGCCAAGAGCAUACUUUAGAAAACAGAGAAGAAGAAGCCAUUUCAGACUCCUCUCUAAAUAACACUGCUGGUGUUGCAGAUGCAUGUAGCUUGAAGGAGAUGGAAACCCCAAGUACUCUCAAGUGUAAUCUGAGGCCAUACCAGAAACAAGCUCUCCAUUGGAUGUCAGAAUUGGAGAAGGGGAUUGUUGUCGAGAAGUCACCACCUACUCUUGAUCCUUGCUGGGAGGCCUAUCGUAUAUAUGAUGAGAGGGCUUCUUUCAUCUAUGUGAACAUGUUGUCAG